CAAUCUCAGUUCAGAUUGCAGGCUGCAACUCGCCUGCAUGAAGUCGGAAUUGCUAGUAAUCGUAGGUCAGCAUACUACGGUGAAUACGUUCCCGGGCCUUGUACACACCGCCCGUCAAACCAUGAGAGUUGGCAACACCCGAAGUCGGUAGUCUAACCGCAAGGAGGACGCCGCCGAAGGUGGGGUUGAUGAUUAGGGUUAAGUCGUAACAAGGUAUC
rnacentral:rRNA from 1 species